GGGGAGCCACGGCCACUGUAGCCUGUGCGGUCGCAGCUACAGUGUCCCAUCCUGGUACUUGUGGCGGUCACGUUGAGGAGCGCGGACACCUUUCUGCGCGCCAAAGCCGCGGCGCAUUUAUGGCAAGAUCGGUGAGGGGGCCAUGAGAUCCGCGCCCUCAUCUGGCGGUCUACGCCCAAGGCGGAUACUUAUCUUGUGGGUCCGGAUGAGUCUGACGCCCUACGCCCGGGGUCGAGCGAGGCGGAGUCCUGCGGCGAGGGGUCGGGUGCUCCCGACCCUAGGACCGAGGGUCGGGCGAGGUGGAGUUUUGUCAUCGAGGGGUUGGGAGUGUCCGACCCCGGGGCCCUGGGUCGGGCGAGAUGGAGUAGGAUGCUCUCUGCAUUUGCUGGGUCGGCGGUAAUCGUUAUUAUCGUAGGUGGGCCUAGGCCUUCAUGAUUGUUGCUUUAAGGGGCAUUAGGAGGUCGUUAAUAUUUCCC
rnacentral:lncRNA from 1 species